rnacentral:rRNA from 1 species
UACAGAGGGUGCAAGCGUUACUCGGAAUUACUGGGCGUAAAGGGUGCGUAGGCGGUUCGUUAAGUCUGUCGUGAAAUCCCCGGGCUCAACCUGGGAAUGGCGAUGGAUACUGGCGAGCUAGAGUGUGUCAGAGGAUGGUGGAAUUCCCGGUGUAGCGGUGAAAUGCGUAGAGAUCGGGAGGAACAUCAGUGGCGAAGGCGGCCAUCUGGGACAACGCUGACGCUGAAGCACGAAAGCGUGGGGAGCAAACAGG